GACUGACACUCCUACGGGGAGGCAGCAGUGGGGGAAUAUUGCACAAUGGGCGCAAGCCUGAUGCAGCCAUGCCGCGUGUAUGAAGAAGGCCUUCGGGUUGUAAAGUACUUUCAGCAGUGAGGAAGGUGGGUAUGUUAAUAGCAUAUUCAUUUGACGUUAGCUGCAGAAGAAGCACCGGCUAACUCCGUGCCAGCAGCCGCGGUAAUACGGAGGGUGCGAGCGUUAAUCGGAAUUACUGGGCGUAAAGCGCAUGCAGGUGGUUUGUUAAGUCAGAUGUGAAAGCCCGGGGCUCAACCUCGGAAUUGCAUUUGAAACUGGCAAACUAGAGUACUGUAGAGGGGGGUAGGAAUUUCAGGUGUAGCGGUGAAAUGCGUAGAGAUCUGAAGGAAUACCGGUGGCGAAGGCGGCCCCCUGGACAGAUACUGACACUCAGAUGCGAAAGCGUGGGGAGCAAACAGGAUUAGAUACCCUGGUAG
rnacentral:rRNA from 1 species